rnacentral:rRNA from 1 species
CCUACGGGUGGCAGCAGUGAGGAAUAUUGGUCAAUGGACGCAAGCCUGAACCAGCCAUGCCGCGUGCAGGAAGAAGGCUCUAUGAGUUGUAAACUGCUUUUGUACGAGGGUAAACGCAGAUACGCGUAUCUGUCUGAAAGUAUCGUACGAGUAAGGAUCGGCCAACUCCGUGCCAGCAGCCGCGGUAAUACGGAGGAUUCAAGCGUUAUCCGGAUUUAUGGGGUUUAACGGGUGCGUAGGCGGUCGGGUAAGUUAGAGGUGAAAUCCCCAGGCUCAACUUCGGAAUUGCCUGUGAUACUGGUCGGCUAGAGUGUAGGAGCGGUAGGCGGAAUGUAUGGUGUAGCGGUGAAAUGCGUAGAGAUCAUGCAGAACACCGGUUGCGAAGGCAGCCUACCAGGCUACUUCUGACGUUGAGGCACGAAAGCGUGGGGAGCAAACAGGAUUAGAUACCCCUGUAGUC